rnacentral:rRNA from 1 species
GUGUCAGCAGCCGCGGUAAUACGGAGGGUGCAAACGUUGCUCGGAAUCAUUGGGCGUAAAGCGCACGUAGGCGGUCUGUUAAGUCGGGUGUGAAAGCCCUCGGCUCAACCGAGGAAGUGCAUUCGAAACUGGCAGGCUGGAGUACUGGAGAGGAUGACGGAAUUCCCGGUGUAGAGGUGAAAUUCGUAGAUAUCGGGAGGAACACCAGUGGCGAAGGCGGUCAUCUGGACAGAUACUGACGCUGAGGUGCGAAAGCGUGGGGAGCAAACAGGAUUAGAAACCCGGGUAGUCC